UACGGGGGGAGCAAGCGUUGUUCGGAUUUACUGGGCGUAAAGGGCGCGUAGGCGGCCACCGCAAGUCAAUUGUGAAAUCUCCGGGCUUAACUCGGAAAGGUCAACUGAUACUGCGGGGCUAGAGUGCGGAAGGGGCAACUGGAAUUCUCGGUGUAGCGGUGAAAUGCGUAGAUAUUCGGAGGAACACCAGUGGCGAAGGCGGCUCACUGGCGCGGUACUGACGCUGAGGUGCGAAAGCGUGGGGAGCAAACAGG
rnacentral:rRNA from 1 species